rnacentral:rRNA from 1 species
AUACGUAGGUGGCAAGCGUUGUCCGGAAUUAUUGGGCGUAAAGCGCGCGCAGGCGGCUUCUUAAGUCUGAUGUGAAAUCUCGGGGCUCAACCCCGAGCGGCCAUUGGAAACUGGGGAGCUUGAGUGCAGAAGAGGAGAGUGGAAUUCCACGUGUAGCGGUGAAAUGCGUAGAGAUGUGGAGGAACACCAGUGGCGAAGGCGACUCUCUGGUCUGUAACUGACGCUGAGGCGCGAAAGCGUGGGGAGCAAACAGGAUUAGAUACCCUGGUAGUCCACGCCGUAAACGAUGAGUGCUAGGUGUUAGGGGUUUCGAUGCCCGUAGUGCCGAAGUUAACACAUUAAGCACUCCGCCUGGGGAGUACGGCCGCAAGGCUGAA